UACGUAGGGUGCGAGCGUGUCCGGAAUUAUUGGGCGUAAAGGGCUCGUAGGCGGUUUGUCGCGUCGGGAGUGAAAACUCAGGGCUUAACCCUGAGCCUGCUUCCGAUACGGGCAGACUAGAGGUAUGCAGGGGAGAACGGAAUUCCGUGGUGUAGCGGUGAAAUGCGCAGAAUAUCAGGAGGAACACCGGUGGCGAAGGCGGUUCUCUGGGCAUUACCUGACGCUGGAGGAGCGAAAGCGUGGGGAGCGAACAGGA
rnacentral:rRNA from 1 species